GUUUGUGUGGUGUAGUUGGUUAUCACACUAGUCUUAUAGACUGGAGGUCCCCAAUUCAAACCUGGGCUCAGACA
rfam:Ipomoea nil DNA, scaffold: scaffold1294, cultivar: Tokyo-kokei standard.